UGUGUAGUUUAUUCAUUUUCAAUUCAUAUCCUAAAAUGAUCAACUUAAUAAGAUUUUCAUUAACAG
rnacentral:tRNA from 1 species